CGCAAGCCUGAUGGAGCAACACCGCGUGAGUGAAGAAGGGUUUCGGCUCGUAAAGCUCUGUUAGUUUAAAGAAGAACACGUAUGAGAGUAACUGUUCAUACGUUGACGGUAUUUAACCAGAAAGUCACGGCUAACUACGUGCCAGCAGCCGCGGUAAUACGUAGGUGGCAAGCGUUAUCCGGAUUUAUUGGGCGUAAAGAGAGUGCAGGCGGUUUUCUAAGUCUGAUGUGAAAGCCUUCGGCUUAACCGGAGAAGUGCAUCGGAAACUGGAUAACUUGAGUGCAGAAGAGGGUAGUGGAACUCCAUGUGUAGCGGUGGAAUGCGUAGAUAUAUGGAAGAACACCAGUGGCGAAGGCGGCUACCUGGUCUGCAACUGACGCUGAGACUCGAAAGCAUGGGUAGCGAACAGGAUUAGAUACCCUGGUAG
rnacentral:rRNA from 1 species